rnacentral:rRNA from 1 species
GACGAACGCUGGCGGCGUGCCUAAUACAUGCAAGUCGGGCGCAGGAAAUCGACGGAACCCUUCGGGGGGAAGUCGACGGAAUGAGCGGCGGACGGGUGAGUAACACGUAAAGAACCUGCCCUCAGGUCUGGGAUAACCACGAGAAAUCGGGGCUAAUACCGGAUGGGUCAUCGGACCGCAUGGUCCGAGGAUGAAAGGCGCUUCGGCGUCGCCUGGGGAUGGCUUUGCGGUGCAUUAGCUAGUCGGUGGGGUAAUGGCCCACCAAGGCGACGAUGCAUAGCCGACCUGAGAGGGUGAUCGGCCACACUGGGACUGAGACACGGCACAGACUCCUACGGGAGGCAGCAGUAGGGAAUCUUCCACAAUGGACGAAAGUCUGAUGGAGCAACGCCGCGUGAACGAUGAAGGCCUUCGGGUCGUAAAGUUCUGUUGUAAGGGAAGAACAAGUGCCGCAGGCAAUGGCGGCACCUAGACGGUACCUUGCGAGAAAGCCACGGCUAACUACGUGCCAGCCGCCGCCGUAA